rnacentral:rRNA from 1 species
UACGUAGGGUGCGAGCGUUGUCCGGAAUUAUUGGGCGUAAAGAGCUCGUAGGCGGUGUGUCACGUCGGCCGUGAAAACCUGCAGCUUAACUGUGGGCGUGCGGUCAAUACGGGCAUCACUGGAGUUCGGCAGGGGAGACUGGAAUUCCUGGUGUAGCGGUGAAAUGCGCAGAUAUCAGGAGGAACACCGGUGGCGAAGGCGGUUCUCUGGGCCUUACCUGACACUGAGGAGCGAAAGCGUGGGGAGCGAACAGG